GACCAUGGAACCAGAGGUUAUGCAGGAGUGAAGUAUCCUUCAGAGAGGAUGAAUUCUCAAGAAAAAGUACCAUUGCUGAAGGUAACAAAGAAAGAAGGAAGGAUAGAAGGAGCCUGAGUUUCUGCGGGCAUCAGGGAGCUAUCGUCUCAGUUCUGAACUAUCUUGUGAUUUUAUUUUGAAAAACAAGAAUGCGAAAAAGCCUCCAAAUCUUUUCCAAAAGAAGAUAAAAUUAUCUAUAAUCCUGCCAUCCAGAUUUAAAGAAAAAAAAAAAAAAACCCUUUCUGGGUGUCUUUGAUGGAUAUUUUCCCCCCAUCAUCAGCACCUUCUUGGAGCCUGAUUCUGCUGACGUUUUUCUGCAACUUAGCUUGGUAAUUGUGACUUACUUUCCAAAUCUUCUCUUUC